GACGAACGCUGGCGGCGUGCUUAACACAUGCAAGUCGAGCGGUAAGGCCCUUUCGGGGGUACACGAGCGGCGAACGGGUGAGUAACACGUGGGUGACCUGCCCUCAGCUCUGGGAUAAGCCUGGGAAACCGGGUCUAAUACUGGAUAUGACUCCAUGACGCAUGUUGUGGGGUGGAAAGCCUUGUGCGGCUGAGGAUGGGCCCGCGGCCUAUCAGCUUGUUGGUGGGGUGANGGCCUACCAAGGCGACGACGGGUAGCCGGCCUGAGAGGGCGACCGGCCACACUGGGACUGAGACACGGCCCAGACUCCUACGGGAGGCAGCAGUGGGGAAUCUUGCGCAAUGGGCGAAAGCCUGACGCAGCGACGCUGCGUGAGGGAUGACGGCCUGG
rnacentral:rRNA from 1 species